UCGAUAGCCCCCUCGACAAGCAGUCCGCGUUAAUACUCGCUGACGAAGUGUUCUUCAACGGAGAAGCUUUUUAACCGCUCAAAGACUGUGCUUGUGUAUUCACGGUUUCAGUUUUUGUGUCGGACUUCAUUUAUCGGGUGUUAACGGUGGUUUGUCUUGUCGGCGGAGUCAACGGGAGAUCAAGUGUACCCGUGUCGACUGGAUGAAUUAGCUGCUUGGUAUACAAUGGCGUUUGAGAGAUGGGACUAUUAUCCGGAUCUUCUAUCCUCGUCCGUUAAUUAAAGAUACUCCGCUGUACCUUGGAGCCGGAUAGACUAAAGUAGCGGCGGAAUAUUCGACGAAAGAUGAUUGAAUCCGCCACUAACAACGUCUGCGUUCCGUUACCGGGGUUUGUCAUAAAUAAAUUUGGCGAAGCGUCGGUCGUUUCCAACAAUCCGCUUCGGAGCUUCGGAAAUGAAUGUUGCGCAUGAAAAAGGUUGCGCGAAGAUGUUUGGAAACUGAUUAUGUUUAAGUUACAAGGUUCCUUUCGACUUGAAAUACAAACGCAAAUAACGAUUACUAUAGAGUUCACUGGUAACAGUGUUUAUCAGUAACAUCGUGUCUUUUAUUAUGGCGAAACCGACGUUAGAAGUGGAGCACAUAUUUCCCGACAGAUGCUGUCUAAUCCAAUUUGCCGAAGAAUUUGUUGGAUUCGCGAAGAGUACCGGCGAUUCAAUAUAAAAGCCACGUGGGACAAAGAAGAUCCCGCACGGGAACACGACUUGAUCAGCCAAUCCUCCAAACCAAUAUUGGCGUUGGGUUUGUAACCCUAUUCCUCCAUAGAAAAAUUCGUCCAAUCAUAGGAUUCGACACCCGGGCUAACGUAUGGACGCUGAGCUUAUCCCUGUCAUCGGGCGUGUAGCUAAUUUUCUCGGCAACUUCGAUAAGAUGAGUAUUGUAAGCCCACGCGGGAAGAAGAUAUCAACGAUCGGAAAAAUACAAUCGAAAGUUGUCUCCUCUUUGUAUUCUUCAAACUUGUGAUACGUAGCGUAGCGAUUGUAACAGUUGAAGUCGAGGCAAAUAAGAUUUGCGAAUAACUGUUCCUUUCUAUUGCUUUUAACUCAAGAAACUACUGUUCUGAAACUGCGUAAUCUGCUUCGAAUAUCUUAAUACUCAGUAUUUUCUUAAAUGCUCCAGUGAUUCCGCUUUAACUUGUAAAAUAUGUUCGUUAGCGUUCUACGUUAGACAAAGCGCAGAACGUUACGAAAUGUAGUAACUACCCGAACUCGGCAACUUAGUCGUUUGUACAUUCAAUAAUGUUUUAACUUUUCCUUCCGUUUGAGAACGGCAAGAAGUCGUUAGGAUAGCAGUUAUUGGAGAAUAUCUUAAGAGAAGCUGAAAGGUAUUCUAAAAAUUUAUUCCGGAAUAGAUUGAUGCAAGUAACGAUAAUAAUAUUGUUAUCGCUAAUGCAUUUAUGACAUUCUUUUGACAGUUUGAUUUCGUUAAUGUAACUGGAAAUUUUUUGCGUUAUAGCGAGUACAAAGUAGUUACCAUUUACUAUCAAACGAUACCUCUUAAAAGAUAUUUUAGUUUAACACUAUAGUUAUGUUAGUGUUUUUCAAAUCACUAUAUCAGAUUUUAACACCAUGUCUACCGAAGGUGUCAAAAGACUUUUGAAUUUUCAACUUAAAAUUAUUUCCUAAGUUUAGUCGUAUAUUCUGAAUUGACUUUGCGGCCUUUCCAAUAACAACUACAAAAUUAACUAUUGGAACUGUACAAAAUUUAAUUCAGUAAAAAUGAUUAAACGGAUAAAAUAAUUUUAAGUUAAAAUUUCAAAAGGUGUCUCUCAACAUCUUCGGUAGAAAUAGUGUUAAAGAUAAUCCAACAAGAAUAAAUAUUACUCAACUCUUCGGAAUUUAAAUUAAAUGUCAUUCUUCUAUUAUCAGUAAUUAUACUAGUAGAACAAGCCUAAAAUUCUUCUGUUUUCUCGAUAAAUUAUCAAUGACUAAUCAUCCAAUCGAUCACAGUUCAGAAAUAAAUUACAUGGCAAGGUGUUAAAUUCUAUUCUUCAGGAACCCGACUCGAUCAUGGAGUCCUCGAUAUUUUCGGCGUGUCCUCGUGCACCUCCAGCUGCGACUAAAGGGGUUAGGUGUCAUCGAGGUUUUUUAGUGUUCGUCUGGCGGCGGCGCUUUGCAUGGGCGAGCCAAUCGUGGCGUGUCACGGGCGUUCUGUUAUUUCGCAGUUUGAAACUCUAGUUACCUACUUACCUGAAGGUGCGCAAAGGGCAACGGAAUUACGGUGGAUCGAUAGCCCCGACAACCAGUAACCUCUACCUUCCUUCCACGGCUGUACGUAAUUCCGAAGGCAUUGUUCACAGGGACCCGGCGGCUUCAUAAGAAGUUAAUAACGCUUCAUUUGCUUAUGAAGCCCAUCACGUGAGAAAAAUUGUUCGCGUUACAGGAUAGGGGAUCGUAAAUCAACCGCGGCGUCACGCUCGGCGCGUGCUUUUUAUGAAAAAUUCGGCGACGUCCAUCACGGGGGAUUCUUUUAUUCUUCGGCCGUUAUUAUCGUACACGCGCCGCCAUUACGGCGCGGUGUGGAGCAUGCAAUAUUAUAACUGCGUGUUUAGUAUGUGUACGGCUCGACGCGACCGAAAUAACGAGGGGCCGAUUCUUUUUCGGAAAAUAAAUUUUCUCGGCGCGUUCCAAUUUGUUCUAAUAGAUCAUGCUCGCUGUUGUGGAGCCGUACGAACGUUUCGCGUGAACAAUGGUCGCGCGGAUGCUUCGUUUAGACGUUGUUUUAGAAAUAUUGAACUUCGAAGCUGAACUGAAAUUAUACGAAUUUCGCGAGUUCUAUUAAUCAAUGUAAGACUUUAAUUAUCAAUGAAAUCAUCAAUUAAUCGAUGUAAGAUUUUCAUUAGUCUCGUUGAAAGUGUAGUUUAUUUUAUUGGUGAUUCUUAGUUCCAUGAUUUCUGUCGCGUGUUAUUUUGGGAUUGUUGUGCAAACAAUUAUCUCGUACUUUAACGUCAGAAUGAUUUGAAACUGCCUACAGGAUAACGUAAUCUUGCGGUUUCUCCAAACAAUUUUUGAACAUCCACCGCGCAGCUGGAAGUUUGAAUAUUUACCGCUGCCUAGGUAGUCGUGGAAUCUUUCCCUCACGUGUGAUUUGUAGGGAGCAUUACGGAGAUGUUCUAGAUACCCAAGAAAAGCACUUAUAUUAAGAUGUACGAUAGAGCCACUUAUUAAGCUAAUACGGUAUGAAACGUCCAGAUAUUAAAUAGAUGUAUAGAAAAAUUUAUACGUAUUAGUUUCUAACUGUUAGAAGACAUUUUUGUCUUGUUUCAUUUUUAAAGUUACAUUGAAACGAACGAAAUUUUUGUUCUCUUUUCGAACUUCCUUUUCACGCAUCAAGUCAAACCGUUUUAUUUAACCAUGUACAGAUUUUGAGGAACCUUCACGCUCUGGUUAAAUUCAUUUCUUGUAUAUACAGGUAGCUUGGAUCACUGCGAACACUGUUGAUUUCUUGUUUUGUUGAAGGCAAACAAGCCUCAGCGAAACACCUUCGACAAAAUGCGAAAGUAAACAUAAAUAAACAUUAUUCGCCGUGACAUAGUGCAUUGUGGCGCUCGUUAAUCUCUCCUCUAAUUAUGAGAAUCCUUCCACUAUCUCGUUAGCCAACCGUGAGCGCACUCAGUCUCAAAUUAACCAUAAUGAAAUAACGAUCUCACGUUCUCUGCCUCGAGUGGAGGCUGACAAAACGGUCUCACAACUCCGUUCUCUUAAACCAAAGACGUGCUAAGCUUGCGGCGGGGUCACAAGUAUCUGAAAACAUAUUGCACAAUGAUGUUCAUUAGACUUCAACAUACUGCAUAGAAAAUUACAACACGUUUAAUGCAAAUAAUGCUAACCUUUUCAAUAUUCCCUUACAGAAACCUGGAACUUUACAAACAAGUUUGUAAAGGUUGCUAAAAUUUAACAUAAUGCACAACGAACAUGAAAUUAUUUCCUCAAAAUUUAUAAUUUAUUCACCAAUUUCCAUGUCGGACAUUUUAUUCUCCAGAAAAUACACUUCACGCAUGAACUGGGAAACUUUGUACAAUUUGUAUAUUGCUUUAAAUGCUUUAAAAUCAUGUCUAAAGGAAAUAAGUAUCCGCUUGACGCGAGUUUUCCGAAAUAAAUUUGCAAAUCCCCAAAAUUACGAGGACGUUUGAAGCUUAUUGUGUCACGGGGUUAUUCUAUAUAAUUCUCUAUUAUUUAUUUUAUGCUAUUAAAAGUUCACCAAUUAUGAAUUUUUCAAACUGAAACAUUGUGGAAAUUACGGUUGGCAAUUACACGACCGAACAAAGAUCGUAAACCGUCCGCAGCGGAGUUGUUAAUUGCCCGGUAAAGAAGAUUCGCGUCGUGGUUCGUUAUCGAUGGCACGUGGCCGGAGUGACACUAAAUCGGGCAAACAAGUGGUCCUCUGGUAAAAUUAUCCCGGAAACAGGUGCAGAUAGGAGGCAUCUAUCGAUUACUAUGCAUUACAAAGACCGCUGCUGGGGGUUCUAACCUGCGCGGGAACGACGCAACAGCGCAUCUACUUGUAAAACCGUGCCAAGAAGAAAACGACUGCACAUAAAUUCCGUGAGAGCCCUGAGUCCGCUGGAUCCUCCGCAAACUCAGAUUUACUGCUGAAAUCUGGGGAAGUCUAACGUAUGUAUUCACUUCCAUCCGAGGUACGCUCUCGAUAAGCACGCGAAAAUGAGAACGCUCGACCCGUAGGUUGCUAAUGAUCUCCUAUUUAGAAAGAAAAUGCGAGUGCGAUAGGGCCGAUUUAACCCCUCCAACUCGAAAAAGAAAAGACUUCUAUAGCUUUAUGAUUAAAAAAUAAAAUAAGAGGAUUAUUGUAUAGAAUAUAGAAAUAUUAUUUAUGAUAUCCUUUUUAUUCAAAAGAAUAUCUUCUACAGUUUUAGGGUUAAAAAAUAAAAUAAGAGAAUUAUUGUACAGAAUAUAGAAAUAUUAUUUACGAUAUCCUUUUUAUUCAAAAGAAUGUCUUCUACAGUUUCAGAAUUAAAAAAUGAAAUAAGAGAAUCAUUCUACAGAAUAUAGUAAUAUUAUUACGAUAUCUCUUUUAUUCAAAAUAUACGUUAUGCAAACUUUGGAUUCUAGUUAUUGAAAAUUAAGACUUGUGUUCCGAAAUAAACUUUUAACAUUGCUGUCUCAAGAAUUAUUGAAUCAAUUGUGUCAUAGAGUAUCUGAUCCAAUGAAUUCUUAUUAUUAAUUCUUACAAAACCAGAAACUGAAGAACACAUUAAAGAUUAAUUUCAUUUUAUUUUUUGCUUUGAUUAUGUAAUACUUAUGUUUAUUCGUACGUUAUUCAUCGAGUAUGUGAAUCAGUUUCUGUGGAAUAUGUUUACGAUGUGUUUGAUUAAAAAUGUUUAUGAAACAAUUUUUCAUGUAUCUAUCAAACCGGCAACCAUCGGUGCACGUGAAUCAUUGAUGCGAUGGUCGAAGACAAUGCUAUUGUUCUGUAAAGUGACUGACAUUCG